CGGUUCUCUAAUUUGACUCAGCUUCAGAUUGGAAUGUUUCUCUCCUCACUGGGAAAAGCUCCUUUGGUCUCAGUGAACUCAGAGGUGGAGAAAGUCAUAAGAAUCAGGGAGCCUGCCCCAAAUUGCCUCCUAUGAUAACUUUCCACAAAGACUGGAGGGGAGGCUUCAAACAUCUUCCUGCAGUGUCCAGCAAGACAGCGAGGCAGACUCCCUUUCUCCUGCCAAAGCCACGUGGAGCCAGACAGAACCACAAGCAUACCUGUGGUGCUUGGAGGCCCAAGUAGAAACUUGAAUGCUCACGGCUGCAUUGGCAGCUUCUACUUGCCUGCCUGGAUCACCGUUCCUCAUGAGAACUUGGAAAAGCAGGACUAUCAUUCUUGCUUGACAGACGAAGAAACCAAGCCUCAGUUUUGUAGGCUCCUACCAGUGAAAGCCUCCUCACAACUCUCUUCUUCUCCCCAAGGGUGAUUGCUGAGUUCUGGAGACAGACUGGGCUUCUGCUUUCUUUUGGUGGAGGUGUCUGCUUGCAGAAAAUUUAUGUUCUGGGAUUUACAACUUCAGGGAGACAAAGGAAACUCCAGCUCAUCUCCCACAUCAUUGAUUGAGAGGACCAUUUUCUGACUGUCUGCACACGUUUCCUAUACUACCCUUUAAUGCAACAAUGGGAUGAAGAGAUGAAGACUUCUAGCAGGCUACCUCAGAAAGGUUGCUGACCAAAGGCUGUAUGGACCAAAAAGUCAUAACACCACCCUGGAUGAAAGGACAUUUACCUAAGGAAUUACCCGCUCUCAAUUCUUCCCAGGUGCAUGUAGUAUAGAUUAAAUAAGGUGGUUGUAUGGCAACAGAGACAUUAUUAGAAACAUUCUUCUUGAAGUUUGACAACAAAGCAGUAGAUGUGUAUCUACUACAGAGUUGUUAGUGAAAAAAG
rnacentral:lncRNA from 10 species